rnacentral:rRNA from 1 species
GAUGAACGCUGGCGGCGUGCCUAAUACAUGCAAGUCGAGCGAACAGACGAGGAGCUUGCUCCUCUGACGUUAGCGGCGGACGGGUGAGUAACACGUGGAUAACCUACCUAUAAGACUGGGAUAACUUCGGGAAACCGGAGCUAAUACCGGAUAAUAUAUUGAACCGCAUGGUUCAAUAGUGAAAGACGGUUUUGCUGUCACUUAUAGAUGGAUCCGCGCCGCAUUAGCUAGUUGGUAAGGUAACGGCUUACCAAGGCGACGAUGCGUAGCCGACCUGAGAGGGUGAUCGGCCACACUGGAACUGAGACCCGGUCCAGACUCCUACGGGAGGAAGCAGUAGGGAAUCUUCCGCAAUGGGCGAAAGCCUGACGGAGCAACGCCGCGUGAGUGAUGAAGGUCUUCGGAUCGUAAAACUCUGUUAUUAGGGAAGAACAAAUGUGUAAGUAACUAUGCACGUCUUGACGGUACCUAAUCAGAAAGCCACGGCUAACUACGUG